rnacentral:lncRNA from 1 species
CAGCACUAUCCAUAAGAAUCCAAUGUCUGAUUCCCAUUGCAUUCAGAGUUCUCAGUGCCAUCUUCACUGUAAUGUAUAUUCAGAUAUAUUCUGAAUAAAAGGAAGGGGCAUGUUGGCAAGAAGAUUCUGACUGCAUAUCAGGAUUAGACUCAGGCUCUUUGAACUUUUUGUUUCUGUAUCUUUCAAUUGUGUGGCUUUGGGAAAAUUUACUUGAUCUCUGUGCUUGAAUUUUCUCAUCUGAAAAGUGUUAAUAAGAAUACUAAUGAAAUUUCAGAGAUAAUAAACCUAAAAGGCAUUGGAGUAUGUACUUGUUAAAUAUUAGUUGUUGCUGCUAUCUGGAUCUUAAGAUAUGUGAGUCACAAAAGAGUAAGGAGUGUCCACCUGAGAAGGAUGAAGAAGUGGUAACCUCAGGAAUAAGUUGAAUUCAGUUAUGCCAAAUGGGGAAAAUGAAUAUUGAGGAAUAAAUGAGUUAAUUAUCAUAGAAUUGGGGUUUCUGAUAGCACAAUAAAUGAGUGCUGCUUCAAUAAAGAAGUGAGCAAUAAAAGAAAGCAUGAAUCUAAAAUUUUUACAUAACAGGAUGGUUGUGUUGAAAAGACCAGAUAAUUAGAUUGGCCUAUAAUUUAGAUUAUGGACAAAAUUAUGAAGACGGGAAAGUCAGUUAGCUUAUAUGGCCACUAGAAUGAGUUUAGACCUCUCAAGUGUCAAUUAUGUUCAGAUGAAUUGUACCUUCUCUCAAGUGCUACACUCUCUUGGAUGGGAGAUAACUUUGUCCCCUGGUGAAAGCUUGCAUUGGUUGCUCAGGCACUGGGAAGCUGUUUUUGUUUGGAGUGUGCUUAUAUGCGUCCUGUAGGAGGACAGCUGAAAACCUGGUCUCCACCUGCUAAUCUGGUGGGCAGACGCCACAGUGCAGAGAAACCUGGUAUGCAGAAGAUGAAGACAUAGCACAACGUAAGUCAUGUCCUAUAGAUCUAUAUCACCUGUAAGGCAUAAUAUCCCAGCAUGUGCCUCUGAACUCACAUUCUGAAGGUGCAGCAAACAUGGAUGGGAUCUCUAGAGGAGUGGGCACCCGGAAUAUAUGCUUCUUGACCAUGCAGGCAAGAGUGGAAAAUUGUUAGUAUUUAGAUUUAUGUAUAUGGUAAUAUGAUUUAAACAUGUUUUGUUCACAUAUUUCUAUCUAAUGAAGUUAUCUUCCUGUCCUAAUGAGGUGGGUAACAAUGUGUCUCACUGUCACUGUUUUGGAGAUUUUGCUGAACUUGGUGAACUUGCUCUACUCUGGCCUGGACAGAAAAGAAAAGAAAAGCUUACACUUCUUGGUUUCCUUGUUCUGCCUUCCUAUUGUGAUGGGAAAAGACAACAUAGAGUAGAAAUUAACAAAGGAAUCUCUGGAGUGAGGCAUUCUGAAAUUUUACUGAAGCUCUAAAACUUAACAGCUAUGGAAAUGGGAAAGAGCCGAGGUCAGAAUGAGAAACACAUCCCCACAGGAUUUCUGACCAUCAGUAACAUGAAUUAGCUGGUGUGCACUCUGCUCUGUAACCCUGGAAUCUCCUUUCUACUCGGAGGGAACCAGAUGUACAGCAUGAAGAAGUAUGCCCUUUGGAAAUGUAAAUGAAUACAGUUAAGAGGCUACACCGCCCUUUAAAGGAGUUCUUCUGAUCUCUUAGGAGCUUUACAUUUUGAAGAACAUGGAUGGAUGAGAAACUUGAUGUGGAUUAGAGAAGGACUCCUUCUGUCACCCAGGCUGAGGUGCAAUGGCCUGAUCACAGUUCACUGCAGCCUUGAAUUCUUAGACUCAAGCUACUCAUCCACCUCAGCCUCCCAAGUAGCUGGGACUACAGGCUCACACCACCUCACCUGGGGUCUGGCUCUGUUGCCCGGUCUGGAGUGUGAUGGCAAAAUCAUGGUUCACUGCAACCACUACCUCUCAGGCUCAAGGGGUCCUCCCACCUCAGCCUUCCUAGUAGCUGGGACCACAGGUGUAUGCCACCACACCCAGGAAUGGUGAUGGUAUUCUUUUAUCCACUUUGAGAGAAACUUUGAGAAUGUGAACAGCCACAAAUUUAGAAGUUUCUUUUUUUGCUUUGCUAUAUACAUGGACAAUAAUCCUGUACCUUGCCUGUGAUCUUCCAGAACACAGAUUGGGUUUGUUAUCAGUUAUAUUGAUGGGUUGUCCUCAGAUGGUUGAAGACUGAGGCUGCAGGGAUGAUUGAAAUCUGUAGGCGGAAGAGACAACUGCAAUUCCUGGAGGUGUUAGAACUCUGCAGUGUUUUGGAGGUCUGGUGCUGCCAUUUAUAUUUCUCUUCCCUGGAACUCUUUCUUCAUAACAGAUUUUGAACUAAAAAUAAAGAAAAUCUCCCA